rnacentral:rRNA from 1 species
AGGAUGAACGCUGGCGGCGUGCCUAACACAUGCAAGUCGAACGUCCUGUCUCGCAAGAGGCAGGGGGUGGCGGACGGGUGAGUACCACGUGGGUCAUCUACCGUGAGGUGAGGAAUACCGGCGAGAAAUCGCCGACAAGACCGCAUAGCCUCGGUGCAAGUCGAGGAAAGCUCUCUCGAGAGAGGGAGCGCCACACGAGGAGCCUGCGCCCGAUUAGCUAGCUGGUGGAGUAACGGUUCACCAGGGCGACGAUCGGUAGCUGGUCUGAGAGGACGAUCAGCCACACUGGGAUUGAGAACGGCCCAGACUCCUACGGGGGGCAGCAGUGAGGAAUUUUCGUCAAUGGGGGCAACCCUGAACGAGCAACGCCGCGUGCAGGAAGAAGGUUUUCGGAUCGUAAACUGCUUUUCUCGGGGAAGAGAACGGACGGUACCCGAGGAAUCAGCCCCGGCUAACUACGUGCCAGCAGCCGC